GGAGGAGGAGGAGGACGGAAACAAACAAGGGAUGGUGCUUCGGAUGCUUGCCUCGCCGGCUCGCCCCAAGACGGGGAGAGAGAGAAUCCGUCCGUCCCCCACGCGCGGAUUUUUUCAGUGGAUUCCUCCCGGGUUCCGAGACGCCACCGCGACCGCCUCGAGGUCUCUCGCUCCCCCCCGUGGAGAAGAGAGAGUGAGGAAGGGGGGUUUUGAAUUUUGAAAUCGGAGAUGGGGAAGAAAAAGGUGAGUAGCCGUAGCAUAGCUCCACUCCAGCACGCUGUCGCUAGCUGGGGGCAGAGGCAGAGCAGUGGAGCUUACUGACGUGUGGGGUCCUCCGUGUCCGGUGGUCGGCUUCGGCAUUUUGCCUGAUUUUUCGCUCCUGUGUCCGUCCACCUGUCCAUGUCCACGGUGUCACGCUCGGGAGCAACCACAAUGCUCGGAGCUUCACGACACGACACGGUAAGGAAAAAGUCCACACACGUUUCUCAACUUUUACGAAAAUCUAUUUUUCUUUUAAACUUUAAAACUGAUUAAAAUACCUCUCUUAAUUUUUAAAGUCAUUCAUCUUAUCAUCCUACCCUGGUUAAAAAGGUUUCGAAUGCGACUUUAUUUUUUUAUUUUUCAUUUAUUUUAACUGAAUCUUUAAUAAAAUCAUAGUAAAACAUAGAAAAUUAUAAAAUAAAAAUCUAUUUUUCUUAGACUUUACAUGAGUAGAUCUACAUAAUGAAUAUACAAUAUAAUAUGAUUUGAUAUAAAAUUUUGUUGUAGCUUUAGAUCUAUUCUUUUCUGUAAUUAAAAGGAAUAAUUCAUAGGUGUAGAUUCUAUUGUUCAAUUGUGGUGAAGUUUUUAUGGUAUGCUAAUUAUUGUAUACUUAAGCUGUACUAAAAUUCUAUACUCAUUAGAUUAUGUAUAACUUAGUUAUAGAUUUUAUUUAUAUUUAUACUUGUUAAAUAUAAAUAAAUCUAUAAAUAAACUAUACAUGAUUCAAUGAGUAUGAAUUUUUAACCAUAAUUCAGCCAUACAAUAGCUAGCCCACCCUAAAACUUUUCAUCGCAAUUGGAUCAUAGAAACUGCAGCUAUGAAUUAAUUACAGAAAAGUAUAGAUAUAAAGACACAACAAAAACUAUACUAAAACAUAUUAUAUUAUAUGUUUACUGUGUAGAUCUACUCACGUGGAUUCCCAUAAAAUUAGAUUUUUUUUUAUGAUUUUUUCUAUGAUUUACUAUAAUUUUUCAAAAAUUUAGUCAAAAUAAAUAAAUAAAAAAGAUAAAACCACCUUCAAAACUGAUUAUAACAAAGACCAACUGACCAAGGAGGCAAGAUGAACAGUUUUAAAAGUUGAGAGAUGUGUUUUGUCCAGUUUUAGAGUUUCGAAGAGGAAAAAGCAAACUUUUGUGAAAGUUGAAGGAGGUAAUAUAGACUUUUUUCCAACUUAAAAGACUAGGUGGAUAUCUUAAAAGGAUUCGAACUAGUUUAGAAUAUGUGAAAAAUAGAAACUUUUUGCUUUGUGGGCAACCAUGGUGAAGUCUUGCUUGAUAUUCGCCUCUUGCACAAUCAACAGACUAGUUAGGGCACUCACAAUGCAGACUCUAUCAUAGAGUCUAAAGUUAUUUAUUACCUCGAAUAAUGUGGACUUAGAGUCUAAAUAAGACUUGGAGUCUUAUUUUUUCUACCUUUUUCUCCAAUAAAUAUGCUGCCACAUCAGCAAAAUACCAUAAACAAUAUAUAAUUAAUUGUCUUGGACUCUGUGAUAGAGUCUUGCAUCGUGAGUGCCCUUAGACGCUACAAUGGAUGGUUCCAUUACUUACCUAUUUGGAUUUGACGCUCGCACUACCCAUUAAACUAGGCACUAGUGCUGACAAGGGGGUGGCGCCAUAGAUAGGGGUGGCAAUGAAGCGGAUGAAGGCCUUGUUAUCCAAAACUUUAUAAGAUUCUCCAUCACAUCGAAUCUUACACACAUGCAUGAAACAUUAAAUAUAGAUAAAAAAGAUAACUAAUUGCACAGUUUACCUGCAAAUCACGAGACGAAUCUUUUAAGCCUAGUUACUCCAUGAUUGAAUAAUGCUUGUCAAAUAAAAACAAAAGUGCUACAGUGUCAAAAUCCAAAAAAAUUUUGGAUCUAAACAAGGCCGACGUAUCCAUCGAUCUUAACCCGAACUCAAACUUAAAACUUGAAAUCGCCCAAACACCAAUUCGGAUGAAAAUCCAUCCAUCAUCAAAAUUAGCAGAUCCACAAAACCCACCACAAUAAGGAAUUGUUUGGCAACACAUGUAUGAUAUAUAUUACAUAUAUUCACAUGUAUAAAUAAGAGGCAACAAACAACAUACAAUUCUACGACUCAACUUAGAACAAACUUUGUAGCUUACGGACACAAUUUAUUAAUACAAGACAUGAGUUCUGAUUUAGAGUGGUGUAUUUGGGGUCACCAUUAGGAAUCCGUGGGUGAAACCAAAACCAAAGCCGAACUCAAGGCCCUGUUUAGUUUCCCAUCCAAAAUUUGAGGUGUGCAUUCAUGUAACCUUUUGGAGCCAAACUUUGUUGGAUGGUUCAAACUUUGUGCAAGACAAUGUAUUGUUAUCUAUGGAUUGAACUCCAUGUGAUGUAUGUGUGUCUAUCAUUAUGUGAUGGAACUUCAGUUUGAGUCUGGGUAUCAUAUAUGUGCUGGUUUGCAAUUGUGUUUUUUUUGUAUUUAUAUUGUCUGUUGGACUGUCUGACGCUGAAAUUGCUUGGACUGUUGGAUCAUCUGUCGCUGUAGGUAUGGUAACAGACUAUCUGCCGCUGAAAAAUAUCAAUGGACGGUCUGACGUAAAAUAUAUUCAGGACGACAGACUGUGUGACGCUAAAAGUAUGGUCUGACGCUGUAUGUUUUUAGUGUCAGCACUUACACCGUCUGCAGAAGUCUGACGCUAUAUGUUUUUAGCGUCAGACCAUCUGACGCUGUAGCCACUUUUAGCGUCAGAUCAUCUGGCACUAAUUAUGGUGUUGUGGUGUAGUGCGACACAUUCGAUGUGGCAUCCAAAAAAUUUUCAUCUCUAAUCUAAACAGGGCCUAAGUUUUGGGUCUCCAAACUUGAAAAUCGAGUUGAAAAUUGCUCCCUCACCUGCACCUGUUGGACCUGAAAAUCAAAAGGACCUAGCUCGAAACUGCCCCAGUGCAAUCCCUAAGUGUAGAUGCUUGUCGGUUGUUUUUUUGGAUGAAGCAAGUUCGCCUUGCAAUGGUAGGGCCAAAGUGUCAAGAGGAAGGACUUGAUCGUUCUAUUGGUGACGAGGAAGAAAGCGGUGAACAUAACCAACUCACCGUAGGACUGGGUGAUGAUAGUAUUGACUUAUGCAUCAUAGAUUAGCUGGUUAGGUUAUUUGUGAUAGAACCUUACCAACUGAGUUCAAGUUCUCGACUUGACACAGGUGUUUGUAUUUUUCUUGACUUAUUUUAAGAUUUAACGGCGCUGGCGACGUGUCCGUCGACAGCGAGGGCCUGUGGUGACUUCGUAAAUCUUGAGAUUUGCCAGUCCAACUCGAUUCUUUGGAGGUGCUCAUAGAGGUAGGAUGUGCAUGCGUACAUUUAUAGGGGUGAGUGUGUAUCUGUGUAUGCGAACGUCUGUGUUUGUAAAACUAUAUUCUUUUGAGAUAUCAUGUAUGAGCAGGAGUCAGUAUAAGACAACACGAGAAGGGAGACGGAGGUAGGGUGGAGAACUAUAGAUAACAUGCACACAGGAAGAUGAGAGAAUUCUCUAUCGUGAUUCCUUGUGAGCCACUUAAAAAGUUCAACAGACUUCAGUGCCACUACUCUAAAUUUUUUUUGCCCUCCAGACCACUCAAAACCGUAGGUGUGAAAAGUCAACAAUACCCUUAGGUGUAAAUAUGCUAUUAUUUUUUUGAGCAUCUUAACGACUUCAAAUGAAAAAACUCAAAACUAGAAAGUUGUAGAUCUUGUCAAAAUCUACAAUUUUCAUAUAAAAAAUAUUUUCAUUUAAUUUAGCAAAAAAAGAUUUGUUUUGAUAUGGUUAAAAUAUAUCUUAGAAAAACAUAUCUUUUUUGCUAUAUUGAAUGAAAAUAAUUUUUAUAUAAAAAAUAUAGAUUCCAAUGAGAUUUACAACUUUUUAGUUUUGAGUUUUUCUAUUUAAAGUCAUUAAGAUGCUAAAAAAUUAACAUCACAUUUACAUCUAUGGUAUUUUUGACUUUUCACACCCGUGGUUUGACACCGUUAGAGCCUAAUCUAACGGUAGUGGCCUGGAGGCAAAAAAAAUUUUUAGAGUAGUGACAGUGAAGUCCAUUGAACUUUUUCAGUGGCUCACAAGGAAUUGUGAUCUUUUACAGUGGCUCACAGGAAAUUCUCUCUAAUUUUCCUAUUUUAAUAUUAUGGAUAUACUCUCUCUCCGCCAAGAAGAAUAUAAUUUUAGAUUUGAGAGUAGUUAAACUUUCUCAAGUUUGACCUAGAGAAAAUAUCAACAUUUAUGUCUUUAAAUAGUUUUUUGAAUUACACAAGUACAAAUGUAAACACUCAAACACACGCACACUCGCUCCCUAUGAAUACACGUACGGAAAUCCUAUCUUCAUGAGCACCUCCAAAAGACUAUGUCGGCACAUCUCGAGAUCGACGAAGUCAUCCCAAGCGCCUCGCUGUCAACGGAAACGUUGCCUACCACUGAAAGCACAACACCGUUAAAUCCUAAAAUAAAUUUAGAAAAAUACAAGCAUACAUGCCAAAUCGAGAACUUAAAUUAUAACAACUAUUUCAUAAUAAUCAAUCUAAUGAACUUAUUUGAUAUAAAAAAUUUUAGUACUUUUAGUAGAGGUGGUCAAAGUUUAAAUAACAACUUUUAUGAGAAUUCUAUCUUUUUUUGAUAGAGGAAGUACUAGCAAACAUGCAUAAGCAUUGCAACGGAACAUACACUUUGUUGGGCGAUUAUUUGAAUGACUUGUGGCUUGGAUAUUUAUGUAAUAGAUGUGUCCUCUGUUCCAACAUGUAUGGGAACUAGAAUCCUGUACCAUUGUUGGAUACACAAACAUGUGCGGUUUUAAUUUUUAUGAGCAUGGGUCGUGAGUUUGGAUCUCAUAGGAGACAAUGGAGAUACUACUAGAAUCCACAAAAUCGGUAUGGGAAUAUGUUCCCUAGAAUUUUUCGCAGGAGAAGCCUCCUAAGACAAUUUCAACCACAGUUUGGAAAGAUGGUUCCCCUAGGGUUUCUUUAAUUUUCUUAGCAAAAAUUUUAAACUCUAGGGAAACCAAUAGAUUUUAUAAAAAAUGGAUGGAAGAAUGACUUGGUUAUAUAAGGCCAGUCUCAAUGGAGUUUCACGAAGGGUGUCAUGCACAUUAAAUAGUCUGCCACAUCAGCAAGAGCACACUUUUUGUAUGAAACUGGGAGGAGAGAGAAUGGAAAAGUUUCACCAUGGUGAAACGAACGUCGGAAACGGUGUGAAACCCGCGUUGAGAGUCGUGAUUCGUUUCAUCCCAUCGGUCUUCUUCGACACCAGCCCCGCGGACUCCGCCUCUGACGCGAGCCACCAUCCGCAGUCGCAGUCCGCCGAUCUGCAGUCGCUGCCUCCAUCAUGGCCAUGAGGGCGCGUGCAUCCGCACGCGACCGCGGAUGCCUCCCAGCGCGGCGAGCGUGAGCGCCGGGCAGGCUCCACCGCGCCGGCUCCUUCUGGCCUCGAACCAACCGACGAUGCGCCGCCAAAGGCCAACUCCUCGACGAUGCACAGGGCGGACCGCGGGUGCUGCUCGUCACGGCGACUCGUACCUCCUCGACGACACGCGGGGCGGACUGUCGUCGUGCAGAAGAGGCAACGUGCAACCAUGGCGAGCGGGAAGGCCAGGCGAGGGCGAGGGCGAGGGCAAGCUGCUGUCGGGCGCGGACCGGGAGAGCUGCUGUCGGGAGCGGACGCGAGCGAGCUGCCUUCGCUGCUGCCGGUCGUGGCCCCGCUGGCCACGAUGCCAUGAAUGAACAAAUAAAGGAAGUGGAGAAAAAAAGAGAAACACGUCAGAAGUUCGGAGAACUUCAUCUGAUGAUGAACACUGAGCUAGUCAGGCGGCGGUGAGUACGGCUCGGGAAGACUAGAAAAAACGGCCGCGAGGCGAGUUCCCCGACGUCGUCCGCUGGGCAUGGCUCAGCUGGCCGCGAGAGGGGAAAAGAGAACGAUGGGACCCACAAAAGUUUAGAAUAAUAUAUGAAACCGUGCUAUGAAAUUACACACUGUGGAGAAAGAUAUGUUCCAAGUUAAGUUUCGCAUCUUGGAAACUGGAAAGGUGAAACCUUCCAUUGAGACUGGCCUAAGAGGAGAAAUUAGAUGUAAGAUAUAUAUAUGUUGGAUCAUGUGGUUAUGCUAUUGGUCAUGUAGGGAUUGGAUAAGAAUCGGCCACCAACCACAGACAUAUGCAUGUUUAUAUGCAAUUGAAGCAACCCAUGCCUUCUUUUUCCAUCUUGUUUUUUAUUGACAAAGUGACAUUUGUUGACAGGUGACCACUGAGUGACGACUUGUAUAUUUUGGUUCGGUAGUGGAAAUGGACUAUGCAUGCUCGACAAUGAGUACAUUUAACCAAUGGGUUACCAGACUUGUACCCCUAUACUAGGAGUAGGAUUAUCAUGACUCAUGAUGAAUUGAAUGAAAGGUGAUUGGCAAGCUUAUUGGGUAGAGCUAAGAAUUAGUCUGAUCCAAAUUCGUAAUUCACAACUGAAUAUUUCAAGCAACAGUGAUGUAAACAAUGUUCUUCCCCAAUUAUUUUGUGGCAUCCCAUGGAAGGAACACAGAUGCAUGGCCAAGAUAUAGAUAGUACUUUUAAAAAAUGUUUCUACACUUCGAGAUAAUGUUUCUCUUAUUCUAGUUAGCUCAACUCAGAGAACAAAAUGUUUUUUAUACUAACUUUGUUGAAAUGGGCUCGGGUCCCAGCAUGUUAGUGUUCUUUGUACCUUAUGUUAAAGUAAAUUCUUCUUUUUUGCCUCACAAAGGUUCCUUUCUUCUAGUGAAAUUCUUCGAGUAUAUAGACUAAUAUAAUUUAAGUUUUUUUCUUUUGCGAGUGGUAUAAUUCUCUGUCUACUUGAGCUUUUUAGCAAAUGGAAUUAUAGUUAGGCCAAGAUGUGUCUUUAGAAUGAAGUAAGUUCUCAAUUUCAUGCGGGUCAUUGGAAAUUUAGAAAAAUGCUGUUGCUACUGUAGUGUUAUCUUUUGGGCCAGGCCGACUCCAUUUGCUAGUUGCAGCCCGAAAUGCAAAUAAGCACCAGUAUAAACUGGGAAUAUACUCUCAAAAAUAUCAUUAGGAAUAAAGGCAUAGUUAAAGUUCUAGGACAUGAUCGAAUACAGUAGAGAUUAGAAUCACACUACAGUUUAAUUAGAAUUUUAUAUGAACAUAAAAAUAAGACUACCAAAUUUCAUCUGGAGGACUCUUACAAAAAAAUCAACAGGAGGCAAAUUAAUUCCAAGAAUAAAAAGGGAACAAAACCUGAUGACCUCACAAAAUCAAAUAUCUCAUCUUAUGUCUAUUGGCUUAGAUAGACACCUCAGUCUGAACUAACUUAUCACGUGCGACGUGGUAAUUCUGCUAUGAUGGUAGAAAAUAAUUCACUCUGUUUGUUUUAACCUUUUAAAGCCAGAAGAUGACCAUUUCUAAGAAUUUAGGCGACACCAAUAUAACCUAUUACCAACGGAAUGAUAUAAUUGGGGGCAACACAUAAUGGCUGCCUUGGUUUUAUCUUACUGUCUUAACAUGUCAGAAAGCAAAACAUCAUGUAAUAGCCUACCUAUGAGCGAAAAAGAAAGUAACAACAAUAAGUAGGCAAAAAGCAUCGAUCAAGAUUCAAUACGAUAUAUUUAGAUUUACAUGUUUUGUCCGGAAGACAUGUGUUGUACGUACAUUUCUUUCAGUAUAUAUACUAGGAUGGAUGUGACAUAUAGAAGCUCUAUCUACAAAUACCUUACUUAAGCUAUGUGAGAAACUACCAUAGUAAUAAAAAUCAUGCUCAAAAUAGCAAGUGGUUAUGUGACUACCAUCAAAACAAGCUUAUUAACCAAACCUAUACUUCAGAUAAAGUGGUGAUGGAGUUUUAAGCUAUGUAAGAAGCUACCAUGGUAGUACAGAUCAUGCUCAAAAUAGAAAGUGGUUAUGUGACACUACUACAUGAAAAAAUUUACCGUGGCGGGCUAAAAUGCUUAACUGAGGCAGUUUUUCCAACCACCUCGGAGCAAAGGUCAUGGUUAAUGUGACCUUUUGCGAGGCGGUUGGAUGCGCGCCUCGGUUAAUCAAAUAAAAAGAAAAAAAACCCAGAGGGCUUGGAUCUGGGCCUCUUGCCCUACCGCUAGGGGAGCCAACUCUGCGUAUGCAUCGGCAGCUCGCUGCGUCCAUGCCCGCUUUGCCACCACGAAGAUCCACCGCCCACUGCAGUACAUCCGUCGCGGGUGUGGACGACCUCACGCACUGCCGUGGGUGAAGGCCUCCAAGCCCUGGACUGCGCUGCCAUGCCCUCGGCCCCGGAUCCGCGCCACCUGAGGACCUUGAGGCAGAGGGAGGAACUCCUUGCUGCCUAGAUCCACGCCGCCAGAGGAGACGGAGGAGCUCCUCGCCACGCCGUCGGUGGUGCUUGAGGGAGGACGGAGAAGCGUCGCCGCGAUAGGGGGCUCUGCCACCGAAUACGAAGGAGAGGAGGAGGGGCGUUAGAGGGAAGGGGUGCGGUCAAUGGGGAGGGGCGCUCAGGUGUCAAGUUUUGCGAGGAGGGGAAGUGAAGGGCGUCGGGCGUAUGGCGUCGCGAGCAGCCAAGGUGAGAGAGUGCGGGUGCGGCUGAGGAAGUGAAGGUGAAACCCUAGGUCUAGUAUAUAUAUGUGACCUUGAAAUUGGGCCUCUUGGGCUGGCAGGCUGGGCCAGAUUUACUGAGGCGGGUGGAGUUAUAAUACCCGUCUCGGUUAAUGAUUUUACCGAGACUGUUAUGUUAAGAUGUCCGCCUUGAUUAAUCAAUUUUGCGAGGCAGUUUAUGUAACCGCCUCGGUUAAUAAAAAAUGACCGUCUCGGGCGGUUGAAAUUUUUGCCCGCCUCGGAGGGUGUUUCAAAAGAUCACGGUAAAUCUUUUUGUAGUAGUGUGAUUACCAUCAAAACAAGCUUAUCUACCAAUCCCAUACUUAAGACAAAGUAGCCAUGGAGUUUAAGCUAUGUGAGAAGCUACCAUAAUAAUACAAAAUCACGCUCACAAUGGAAAGUGGUAUGCGACUAUCAUCGACAAGCCUAUUAACCAAUCCUAUACUUAAGAUAAAGUCCUCCAAAUAUAUUCCAUAGUUAGAGCAACUCUAGUGUCAUCUAAAAGUGAACUGUGGGAAGCAAAAAGAGAUCUAGAACAUUGGAGCAAUCAAACAUUGGGCGUUAGACCAAAAAGCGUAAUUUGUAGACGAGCCAAAUCAAGAAGAAAAAAAAAUCAUGCCGGGCAUGUCACCCCUCACGAUUCUUUUGUCCCCAAUAUGACUCAAAUAGAGAUGAUUUUUUAGUUCUAUUUGUGUGCAGAAGUCGAUGUGCACAUUGAAGGCAACGAACUUUGCUUUUAUUCGAUUCCACAGUUCGACACGAUGUUUUGCAUAAUUAAGUUGGUAUUUGUUGUUGUUUGCAAACUCUCAGAACAAAAUGCAAAGUCUAAAAAUAGGCCAUCUCUAAGGGUUUUACAUAACUGAGUUGGCAAUUAGCCAAAGUGGACCCGGUCGUGAUUUUUUUCCUUCGCGCGCGCUCGCGAUCGUCUUCCCACACGCGACUUUCCUUCGCGUGCAUAAAGUCGCCGCCGGUUCUCGUGUUUUCCUCACAGGUCGCGCCACCAGUUCUUCCUGCUCCCCACCGCUCGUUGUAGGUGCCACCGCGACGACUCAUAUCAGACUCGUUGCAGGUGCCGCUGCGGUGCCAGCCCGAUGGAUGCAACCUGCCUACGUACCCGGAUCAUCUUCCUGCUCUGCUCGUACAUUACCGUUCUAUGGCUUCGAUAGAUUGCCGAUGCACUGGUUCAUCAAUUUUAAAAUUCAUUUGAUUCAAUUCGGUCCUACUCUUCUGGCUUGUAGCAGAUGACGGCGAUGGUGUUGCUUGCGGUCGCGAUAUAUGGCGCGAAGAAAGUCCAGGUCGCGCGGGGGACCGGGAGACGCGCGGUCGGCCUUUUGCCAAGCCGUGCGCGGCUUGGCAUAUAUGCCAAGCUUGCUCUCUCAUUUGCCAAGUUGCUCAAAAUGCAAACUCUAAAUGCAAAACCAUUGGAUACCUCUUUUGUGAUUUUUGACAAAUUACAAGAAUGCAAAGUCCAAAUGCAAAACCGUUGGAGAUGCUCUUAGAGGUGCUCUUAGGCUAUCUCCAACAGCCUAUGCAUCACGCUAUCCAUAUCCAAAAUGUCUGAUCACAGUGAAAAAGCACUCCCAACAGAGUAGGCAAAGAGAGGACCUAUUUUGCGUCAUGGUGAGAGGAGACUCAAAUAUGCAUCUCUCUCUCCAUGACCCAAAUCUGCAGCAUCGAUCAUGGUGGGCCCGCGACAGGGAUCUGCCGCACAGCGAGGCGCGGUCGGUCCACCGAUGAGGACAGCGAGGCGGGCCCGUGACGAGGAGACGACGGCGAGGCGAGGCGCGGCGGGCCUGCGGACAACGACGGCGAGGUGGGUCCGCGACGGGGAGCCGCCGUCACGACGAGCGUGGUUGUCCCGCAGACGACGACGAGGAGCCGCCGGCGCAGACGACGAUGGCGAGGUAGGUCUGCAGAGGGGCGAGACUGUCUCGGCAGGGAGGAAAGGAAGCUCGGCGAGCGCGGCCGUCUCGCGCAGAGAAGGAGGGAAGCUUGGUUCUAGGCACAGUGGAGAGGGAAGAGAGCAGCGCAUGCGGUUCUGUUCGAUGGGAAGGAAUGGGGCGGCACAUUCAGUGGAUCUGCUCUCCUUUUAGGUCGGCUGUUGGAACACGAAAGAUUUGGUGUGUGUGACCCUUUUCUCCUGCGUGACCCAAAUAAACCGUAUGGAUCUCAUAUAUGGGUGAGGACUGUUGGAGACAGUCUUAGAUGAAGAUCAAUUCACAAAUCCUAUCCCUGGACCUGAACGUCACAGCCCACGACUCACAAACCAUGGGCCAUGGCCCGCAACUAACAUCCUUUUCCCCUAACCCAAGCAACCUCAUAGUCGGUCCCUAUUAGUCAUUGCCCCACCGAUCACUUGCUCCCGUCAUUUUUUCGAAACACUAUUUUACACUCUAUUCCUUAUACUCAAUAGUUGAUAUAUAUUACACGCUGUAGUUUAUCCCUUAUACUCAAUGAUCAACAUAUACUACCUUGCAUACUCUAUCCCUUAUACUCAAUAGUCGACACGUCGUCGCAACCGUGGUGUCUAUAUAUAUGCCAUACAUAAAGCUAUUCUUAACUUUGAUGUUUACCUCUUCUCCCAAGCAAGGACCAUCAUUCUCAAGCAUCAUCAGACGAAGAGAGGCCAGGAGAAGAGAUUAGGAAAAGAACCUGUGAGAAUUAGUGGGAGAGAUCCACAAGGAAGGUACUGGCGUCGCGUACUCCCCCUCUCUCUCUAGUCGACCCCUUUGUUUUCUCUCUCCUCUCUCCUCUCUCUCUCUCUCCUGGUGCUGCUGCCUGCGCCUGCUGUGUGUGUGUCCCUCCCCCCUGCCAACCCUUUUCUAUUCAGUCGGUUCCCCUCUCCUCUUCCCCCAAGCCAAACACCACCACCCCUCCUUCCUCCCCACACCCCCUCUCCCUACGCCUCCUCGCCGCUUUCCCCACCCAAUCCGACCGCCGGGCCGCCUCCUCUCCGCCGGGGCGGGCGAUUCCCCGGAGAUUCCGCGCGAUUCGCCGCGGAUUCGGGGCUCCUCCGGGGGUUUCUCGGCGAAUCGGCGGGGAUCGGGACUUCCCGGCUGGAGGUCAGGCCCCCCCUCCUCCUCCCCUCCGAUCGCUAACCCUCGCUGCUUCGUGCCCCGCCGCGUGGGGGCGGGGGUUUGCCCGGUUACUGCCCGCGCCGCCCUGUGCCUUAGGUGCGAUGAACAGACGAGUGAACUUUUGCUUCUACAUACAACUGGGUGCUGGGUGGGGUGGGGGAGAGCGAUUCCGUGAUCGGGGCGCCUUCUGCUGCGUGUCCUUGCCCGAUGUGCGGAGUGGGUUGCCGAGGGGUGCGAGUCGGCUGCGGGUUCUCCUGGUGGUUAAUUAAGCAAGUUGCUAGUAAUUGCACGAGUAGAUUUACCUGUUGCUGUUAAUGACUCUGUGCUGCUGAUCCAUUUGUUAGUUAUAUAUGCUUUGGUGGGCAAGGGAUGCGUGUCCCCCAGUGCGUGGAAUCUUCGGUGUGCAAGGAAUGGAAUGGUGUCUGUGGGAAGUAGCAUUACAGAGGACAGAAGAGGGCUGAUGCUGGUGCUAGGAAGUAGAUGUUGCGUGCCUUAUCCUGUACUGAUAUGGACAAAAAUAGGUUUGACUGGAUUGUUGGAGACUUUGGUUUACCUAAGCAUGCCACUCUAGCAGCAUACUUCUUGUUUGUACCAAAGUUACAACAGAACUGCAACUUAUGCAUCCCUAUGUCGAAUGUGCUUGCAGUACUGAUAACUUUACCAUCUGUAGGUGUUGCGAUUAGAACAGCUGUAGAACUUUUUCGCUGUUUCGAAGGCUGGCUGAUACUGAUUGGCAUAUCAGUCAUUCAAUAUGCACAUUCCUUUUAGUAUGUUCUAUUCUAUUAUUUGAUGAAAUCAGAUCAUAUCGUCACCUUUGGGUUCAAGUAUUAGCAGUAAUCACCGCUAACCAUUGGUGGUUUCUCCAACUACGUUGGUUGCCAAGCAACGUAGUUGGAAUGGCUACAUUGUAGCAAUGUUCUUUUAGUUUAGUGGUGCCUGGCACAAGAUAGUGUUGUCAUGGCUUUGCUUUGAUGUGAGCAUCCUAAUUUUUGUCACGCCUUUGAUUACACUGUGGGAUACGCUGCCAAGCAAUCAGACAAUUCUAGAUUGGCAAGGAAUCAUAUCUUGAUACCUUUAGACAUGAGGAUUAAUGACAAGAUCUAUGGCCCCCUUUGCUUAGUAGCAAAUGGGUGUUUUAUCCUCUUUGUCAAGUGAGUCCUAAGUCUGAGGCCAGGAUGAAUUUUGUAGUGGGGCUGGGGCCAAUUAUUUCAUGACUCUCACUUUUUAAUUCCUUCUCUGCAGAAUCCUCCAUCUGUUUCGGUAACUAUUUGGAACAAUUUACGUGGAGAUUGCAUACCAUCACCUUCCCUGAAGUGAAAAAUAUAUGGGCUGAUCGUGGCAUUUCAUGGGAGGUUUUGAAGAUGAUGAACCACCCUCAAAACGCGCAAGAGCAUCCUCAGUAGAAUCUGCAAGUUUACCAGAUUAUUUCUCGUUUUCGAAAUCCGUCAAUCCUUUGGGAAGUACAAUGGCUAGACCUUUGCCUUCCCAAGGGAAAGAAGUUAUGGUUGGUUCCAAGGGUGUUAUUAAGAAGGAGGAAUUUGUUAGGAUAAUCACCAAAACUCUGUAUAGUCUUGGAUAUGAAAAAAGUGGAGCAGUUCUGGAGGAGGAAUCUGGGAUUAUUUUACAUAAACCUAUGGUGAAUCUUUUCAGAGAGCAGGUGAUUGAUGGGAAUUGGGAUAAUGCGGUGGUUACCUUGAAUAAGAUUGGCCUUCAAGAUGAAAACAUCGUGAAAUCUGCGUCAUUUUUGAUAUUGGAGCAGAAAUUCUUUGAACUUCUAAGAAAUGACGAUGUCAUGGGUGCUAUGAAGACUUUACGAUGUGAGAUCACACCCCUUGGUGUUAAUAGAAAAAGAGUGCAUGAACUGUCGACUUGUAUGAUUUCUUGUUCUCCACAGCAGUUGUUCCUUGGUUUUUCAAAGCUUGGAAUUGAUUCUUCUAGUUCUCGGUGGAAGCUUCUAGAGGAAUUGCAAAAGGUGCUCCCUCCAACUGUGAUGGUGCCUGAGAGGAGGUUAGAAAAUUUAGUUGAGCAAGCACUUACUGUACAAAGGGAUGCUUGCUAUUUCCAUAAUUCUGUUGAUGGGUUGUCCCUCUACACUGACCAUCACUGUGGGAAAGACCAGAUACCGUCUCGCACGCUACAGGUAAAAAAGACUCUGGUACCUGCUUCGGUGUUUGCUUGGAGCGCUAAAACCCCACAUAAGUGCUAGUUCUGUGUCUGCUGGUCAGCCACUUAUGUACUGUAUUGAUUUGUCAUUUGUAUGUUAUUUAAAACACCUCAGUAGUUCUUUUUUUGUUCUGUAUUUCACUUCCAUUAGCUAUAUUUGGAUUAUGAUACACAGCAAUUUGAAUGAAAACAAUGGAAGUCCCAUUGUUGAUGCUGUAAUUUGCAAAUCUGAAGUCAUAAUCCAGCUUUACAGCAUGUAUGUAGACCACUUAAGCUUCCUUCUACCUUCCCCCUUGCUCCAUCUCCCUCCUUGUUCUCCCCACUUCUCACCAUUUGUUGCCAAAUAAUAAUUUCAGUUUACUGCAGAGGGUUUUUUUUCCUGAAAAAAGGUUGAUAAGAGCUGGGAGUGCCACUCAUCUUUGCACUUCACAAAAAUAUUGUAUUAGCUAUGUUUUCUUUGUUAAGAAAUCAUUCUUUCACUUGCAGUAAAAUGAAUAGAAACUUGCGACUUGUAUUUUGCCGUACAUUGUUGUCACUUUUAGCUGGAUGUGAAAUGUUAGAGAACUUGGUUAUCAAGACUAUUUUUUUCCUAGUAGCUGCAUAUCUUGAAGUUCGAUGCUUUGAAGUUCACAAGUAAAAAAAUUGUUGCAGGUUUUGCAUGCACAUCACGAUGAAGUGUGGUUUAUCCAGUUUUCAAACAACGGAAAGUAUUUAGCCUCAGCGUCAAAUGAUAAAUCUGCAAUUAUAUGGGAGGUAAACUUGUGAACCACUGAACUUAUGUUUCCAAAGUCUUCUUUUCUCAUGGUCUGCGACUCUGCGUACAAACUGGGUGGCCUGUUCCUUAGUUCCUAUUUUAAAUUUCAUGUCAAGAACUGAACUUGUCCAACCUUACUAAUGCUUUUCAUCACCUGUUCUUUAUUUUUUUUACCAAAAGUUGACUUUCAAAUCCAUUGUUAUUUUCAAAACAAAGACAGAAGUCUGCCAUUUCAUAUUACAUUUUUUCCACUGAAAGCCUACUGCUUAUUACUCCGUCAGUUCCAAAUUAUAAGACAUUUUGGCUUUUCUAGACACAUUGCUUUUACUAUGUAUCCAGACAUAGUGGUAUAUCAACAGUCAUUGUACUCCCUCUGGUCCAGUUUAUAAGGCACCUUCUAACAUGGUCUCCUAAAUUACACUUUGACCAUUCAUUUAUUUUAUAUUAUAUUAUUUGUUAUAAACUUAUGAUCAUUGGAUAGUACAUUUGAUUACAAAUCUUAUCAAUUUUGUUUUACAAUGGUUAAAAAUUCAGUCAAAUUAUUAGUCAAAAGAUUAUAUAAUGACUCUUGACCUACACAAAAUGCCUUAUAAACUAGACAGGAGGGAGUAUCUAGAAAAGUCAAAACAUCUUAUAAUUUGAAAUUGAUGGAGUACAUCUUGUAAGCUCCCUAGCUUGAAUACUGGCACUUCUGUAUGUUCUUGUUGAUCAUGAAAGUGUCUGUCCCCACUAUCUUACGGUUGCACUGCAGUAAGUUGGGUUGUAAUGGUAAUACAGGUAGAGACUUCAAUCGCGUAAUUUGCUACUGAUAAAUGAAGCUUUAGUUUUUACUUCUGUUUUGUUGUUAUUGACCAUGCUAUGCGGUUUACUUUUCCUCUUUUUUAUCCCUUCAUGAAUUAAUCUUUUCAUUUCGUAGGUUGAUGAAGAUGGAGAGCUAUUACUGAGGCAUACAUUGAUUGGUCAUCAGAAGUCGGUGAUGAUGGUCGCAUGGAGCCCUGAUGAUUGCCAGCUUCUCACAUGUGGGCAGGAAGAAGCCAUCAGACGCUGGGAUGUUGAAUCUGGCAAAUGUCUUCAUGUUUAUGCAAAGCCUGUUGGUUUGAUAUCAUGUGCUUGGUUUCCAGAUGGAAAACAAAUAUUGUCUGGUCUAGCUGAUGAAAACUUUUGCAUUUGGGAUUUAGAUGGUAAUGAAGUAGAUUGCUGGAAAGGGCAGAGAUCAACAAGAACAUCUGAUUUUGCUGUAGCAAAAGAUGGAAAUCUUAUAAUAAGCAUGAGUAGGGAGAGCACAAUUCUUCUAUUUGAUAGGGAGACAAAACAAGAGAGGUUAAUUGAAGAGGGUAGUACAAUUACUUCAUUUUCUCUAUCAGAAGAUGGUGAUUUCCUGCUUGUAAAUCUUAUAAGCGAAGAGAUUCAUUUGUGGAACAUAAGAAAUGAUCCUGUUCGAGUCAACCGGUACAAGGGCCAUAAGCGCAACCGGUUUGUGAUAAGGUCUUGUUUUGGUGGAUCUGAGCAGGCGUUCAUUGCUAGUGGGAGUGAAGAUUCACAGGUAUGGCGAUUGCCUUGUGACCCACCUAAUGGCUAUAGAAUCGAUAUUAUGUGUGCACUUACCUUUGUUGUCAUUGUUUUUAUUAAUAUGCACUGCUCCCAGACACAUGCUGUUUUAGACAAUUAUAUUUAUUGUCAGAUGAGUCAAAUCUAAUGGAGAGUGCAGCUAACAUGUUUGUCAUUUGAACCGUCCUCAUUGCAUUACAUUAUUCUUUUAUAUACGAUAAAGCAUUCAAACAUCCUGUGACACGGAAAUCAUUGGCUAACUCGGGGACGCUCUUGCAACUGGCGCCUAUGUCUAGGCCGGUCUCAGAUUUAUUAUAAUUUAAUAUGCAUGCCUAAUUGCUUAUGGCCUUGUUUAGUUUCGAAUUUUUUUUGGGUUUUGGUACUGUAGCACUUUUGUUUUUAUUUGGCAAUUAUUGUCCAAUCAUGUACUAACUAGACUCAACAGAUUCAGGUAAACUGUGUAAUUAGUUUUUAUUUUUGUCUAUAUUUAGUGCUUCAUGCAUGUGUCGUAAGAUUUGAUGUGAUGGGGAAUCUUGAAAAGUUUUGGUUUCUAGGGUGAACUAAACAAGGCCUGUCUGCACAUGCUAGUUUCCACCACUUUUCUUCUAUAGUUUCAUACAUUCGGCAUGCAGCAUAUUUGUUGACACUUUCUUCCAUGUCUUCUGACCAAAUCUUGCUGCUGAUUUAUUUUAUGCUAGGAGAUGCCACUAUAAAUACGUUGAAAUUAUCCUGUGUUUUUCAGCUGAUUGUCUUUUCUGAUGAACUAUUAUACUUCCAAGGGGUGUAAUGGAGGCAUGUAGUUAUGGCAUCCAUAUAUCUUGUAGGCAGUAGAAAAUAUGAUACUUUGCAUUUCAUCAGUAAUAAAAGAAGUAAAAAUGUUACUCCUGCCUUUCAAAUUGGAAGUUGUUUUUGUUUUUCUAGAUACAUUGCUUUUACUAGGAAAGUCAAAACGACUCACGAUUUGAAAUGGAGGGAGUACUUCUUAAAGUUGCAUUGGGAAACAUAAGAUUUAGCCUUUGCAAUGUCUAGAAGGCCUGUGGUUGGUUGGUCCAGCCCACACGGUUCAUUGCAUAUUUUCUUUUGUACCCUGCAAGGUAAUAAUGUGCAACACCUGGUCAUGUUUCCAGGUCUACAUAUGGCAUCGAGCCACUGGUGAUCUCAUUGAGACUCUUGCUGGUCACUCGGGCACAGUCAACUGCGUAAGUUGGAACCCUACGAAUCCCCACAUGCUUGCAUCAGCUAGUGACGAUCACACAGUUCGUAUAUGGGGGGCAAAGAAGGCCAGUCUUAAGCGCAAGGAUGUUGGGAGCAGCAACUGCAACAGUAACGGUUUCCACUCGAAUGGCAAUGCUCAUGGCAACGGUUUCGUUCACCAGUGCAAUGGGAACAGCACCAAAUGAUUGGCCAGGGCAAUGUAUCUCCAUGGAUGGUUAACUGGCAUCUGUAAAUCCCCCUUUCCUUUUACUUCCCUCCUGGAAGAAGAAUCGCCACCGCCAUAGUGAAAAAAAAAACAAAAAAAGAAAAAAACAAAGCUGCAGCACAAAGUGUGGGGAACCUGCUGGGUUUCGUGCGCCAUCUUUCCCUUGUUCCAUCAUGACUGUCAUCACAUUUAUUUCUUAAUUCAAGCUGGGAUGGAAUUAUGAUAUUGCUUAUGCAUCUUUCAUAUCUUGAUGUACCCUCCCUGAUUGAUUGUAACUGUAUUUUGGUGGUGAUGCUGAUGGUGGUCAAUUCCUCUGAUUGCAUUUUGCCUUGAGAAGAAACAAAUGUUGGCCUAGGAUGCUCCGCCUAAAAAAAUGGGAUGGAACAUCUUAUCAUAAAUUUAAAUAGAUUCAAUUAUUUGUUUCAAGGGAACAAGUGGUUUGUUUGCUUGCCAUAUUAUUCCUUGUAAGCAAAUAUCUAGGGUAAAUGGAAAUUUUGAAUAUUUUUCAAACCAAACAACUAACCAGUGUUCUAGCAUCAUUGAAAUAACUUGUGUGUUGUAGGUGAACUUUCUUAAAAAAAAACUGUUGCAUUUGAAGAUAUGAAAGUUGGGUAGGGGCAUUUACGGUCUGUUUGGUUAGGCUAUGGAGAAGUUGUGAGCUGUGAAAGUGAAAAAGUAGUUGUGAGUUGUGUGAAAAAAGUGGCUCUUUGGUUUAAAUAACUGAAAACCAAUCAUCUCUCUCUCUCUCUCUCCAAACAGCUGUAAAAUAUCUAUUUUCAUCCAUUUGGAAAAACUAAAAGGGGAGUUCAAGGUAUUGUGAAAAUUGUACUACGAGAAAGCAGCAACUUCCUUUUGUUCUAUCGUUUGGUUGGCUUUCUGCUUUUCUAUCGAUCAGCAGAAAUGUUUUCCAAAAGCUGAUUAAACAAAAACUUUACUAAAGAUGAACCUUGAGGCAGGUUAGGGCACGGCCAACGCACGCAGUUAAAUUUGUUAGCCUCGUGCAAAAGUACCAGUCUACAUAGAGACUCAGGGGGUGUUUAGUUAAAAAAAUACAAAAUGCAGAAUGUCAACUAUUUUAGAAUAGUAGAAUGUAAAAUGUUGAAAUUUUCUGGACAUGAUACCUUCAUAUAUGACCAUUGACUAUAAGAUGAGUUCAUUUCUAUAUUUGUAUAAUAAUUUUUGGUAUAAUUCACUUGGUUCCACAUGCAUAUAUCAUUAUUUGCAUGUAGGUAUGAAUGUGUCUCAAAGUGCAAGGUCAUCAAAGUUGAAUUUUUAGUUCGCUAACGGCCCGAUAGUGCUUUAUUGGGAAGGUCAUAACUCAUCCAUCUGGAAUGAGAUUGAGGUCAAUGAGCACUUGAUGGAAAGCUUGUUUGAUAAGCUUUCAAAUAGAUCUGGUCCUACCUCAAUAUCACAUCGGCAAAGCCUUCAAAUAGUUAUUAUAUUCUGUUGUUGUUUGUGCCGAGAGCUACAUCAUCAUUAUGGGUAUAUUUUUUUUCUUGUGACUCUAGUCAAGUGGGAGCACAUCUCAAGGAGAAGGAGAAGCCACAAAAGGAGCCCUUGAAUGUCCUCCUCUUUGCCCACCACCUUAGAAGGUCAGCAAAGUCGUUCAAGACAAGUCAGAGGCCCAAUCCAUAUCAAGUUUGAGUCCAUCUCGGGCUUCGGGACCAGCAUGAGGUAAACACAGACGUCCAGGACACAUCCGGACUCUGUUUUUGAUGAUCCAUAUAUGGAUGGAAAGAUAAUUUCAUAAGCUAACCAACGGCUUUGGUUUGAUGCCUAAAUUCCAUCGGCGUAAAGGGAAAUCGUCGAAACAAGUUGACAUUUAGAAUCCGUCGGGGCGUUACGUCGCCAUCUUUAGGGUUGUUGGGCCUUGUAACGUGUUAGACCACCUUAUGGACGUGAAGAGGAGUCCUUAGACGUCCCUUAGGCUAUAUAAUUAGUAGCCUCCACCUAUGUUAGGGUUUGGCUUUUGCUUAGAUUAUUUUGUCAAAAACAGUUUCGCCGUGAGAUCCUAACUCGUGAGAUUAAUCAUUCAUCUGCAAAUUGGUUGCAUUCUUCCUUGUUCUUGCUUGUAUUAUUCGAUUCGGAGGCAAGGAUUAGCCUUCUUGGUGAGGUCAACCGUGCAGCGCCGGUCGAUAACCAGAGGAGAUGUGGUGCUAAGGUUGCAGGGUUUGGAUCUUUGUGAUCUGAAGCCAGAUUGUGUGUCGUUCUCUGACCAAAUCGUUGUUUAUCUUGAAUCUGAUGGAAGAUCGGGACCCAUCCCCAUUAUUUAGUUCCAUCCGAAAUACAGAAUUCGUGCAAAAGUACCAGUCCACGUAGACUUAGGGGGUGUUUAGUUAAAAAAAUGCAAAAAGUCAACUAUUUUGGAAUGAUAGAAUGUAAAAUGUUAAAAUUUUUAGAGUCAUGUUUAGGUCCAUCUAAAAUGUAGAAUCUAUUGUCCCCAUGAGAGCCUCUUGAAGUUCUUUUUGGGUUUUUUAAGCCUCCUAAGGCCAAAAUCUACAAUGGAGAAUAACUAAUUUUUUACCAAAAAAUUUAUAUACUUCCUCCGCCCACGAAAGAAUCAAUUUCUAGGAUCCGUGCCAGUCAAACUUUUUAAAGUUUGACUAACUUUAUAGAAAAGAGUAACAACAUUUAUAAUAUAAAAUACACAUUAUAUGAAAAUAUAUUCUAUGAUGAAUCUAAUAAUACUAAUUUGAUACUAUAAAUCUUAGCAUUUUUUUCUAGAAAUUUGGUCAAAGUUUAAAAAGUUUGACUUAGGACAACUCUAGAAAUUGACUCUUUCGUAGACGGAGGGAGUAGUAUUUAGUUCCAUUUUACAAAAUGAUGGAUCAAAAUCUAAUUUUUUUUAAGAGAAAAGGGAAACUAAAAACCCUCCUAGUAAUCUAGUUGUACUAUUCACUCAAUCCUAACGUACUAUAGUUUGUGGUCCCAUGAAUUACUGUUUUCUUCCAUUGUCUUUAUACGUUAUGUUUCAGCUUCUCAACGCUGGCUGUAGCGGGUGUGUCUCAAACUUUUGUCAGAUGGGGAUGGGGAUAUUGUAGCCUCUUCAGGCACAUCUGAGGUUCUGCGCGAGGCCAUCAAUCGCUAUAACCUGGAUGGCUGACUCCGGUGUUAAUCGCUACAAUGUGGAUGGCAUCGUCGGCAACGGCUAGAUAUCGUUGGGGCACUUCAGUAUCUAACGUUGACAAGGCUAGAUAUAUCUUUCUUUCAUUCUCCCACAACGUUGCCUUAGAACACUGUGAAGAGCCUUAAAAUAGGGAUUGUUGGAUAUCUUGAAGGGCUCAAAUCAAUCGGGAUUCAAAAUAGGAAACACAAAUCCAUGUUGGUUAUUAGUGCCUUUUCAGAUGCUGAUUAGGCAAAAUAUUCUUUUGAGCAAUCUUGUGUCAUAUGGCGUGCAAUGAAACAAGCAACUAUCUCUAUGUCUAGAGCUCAUAAAGCUACAAUAAAUACAGCUACAAAUUAAGAUAGUGUGCAUUCACAAGCUUCUGCAUGAAUUGUGAAUCUCACAUCCGAAAGUAGCCUAUUAUAUUGACCAAAUAUUUAUAUUAUGUCAUUCUGGUCUUUCAUGCUAGGACAAACAUGUAGAGAUUAACUAUCGCGCUUUGUGGGAGGAUAAGGUCUGGUUGGAUGUUGGAGUAAAAUUUAGUUCAAGUUUGACUACAAUCCAUCCCAAACACAUGUGGAUUGAGAUGACUUCGACAUUCAAAGAAGAGCUGGAUCAGGCAACUUGAUAUAAGAUUCAUCGGCUCGACAAAUGUGCAUGUAAAUUGCCAUACAUCGGUAAUUAUAUUAUUACUCUUUUUUAAGGCGCAAGUCUUCCGAUGCAUAGAAGCUUAGACUUUUGGGGUCUAUUUGUACAUGUGUAACUAAUAAUUAGCUGCUAAAAUUAGCCAAAAAUCUAUUUGGAUAUUUAUCUAGUAAUAAGGUCCUGUUUGGAUCUCCUCUAAACCUAGCUCUAAAAAAUUUAGAGUAUUUUGGCUUAUUUUGAGGUGUAAAGCUCUAGUGUGAGAUACUGAGGUGGGAUAAAAUUUAGAGGUAACUUAAAACUAUCUAUUUGGAGAUUUUAGCUCUGAAGUUUAGAGCAGGAGAUCAAAAUAAAACCCUAAGUCUAACUAAUGUCUUACCUAUAACCUAGGUAACCAUUAUUGGUUUCUUUUAUCUAACACUGCUUAUAGCUAUCUGGAUGGAUCCAAAAAGAGCCUUAGUAAUUGAUUUUUUAUAAUUGCUUGUGUGGGACCCAUGCGGUGACACCUAUAACUCUUUCUCCUAGUGUUAUUAGAUUCAAACCACUAAAGUUUUUGAAAAUGAGUUAUUGGGCUCUGUUUGGAUCUAUUAGCUGCUGUUAAUUAGCUAGGUAAGUAUUAGUUGGUUUGCUCCAGUUAAUGACAUACUCCUUCUGUGCGCCCCCAAAAUAAGUGACUUUUUUUUUACUCACAGACAAGAUAUUUGAUCGUUUGUCUUAUUUUUUUUUUGUGUGUAAAUUAUAAAAUAAGUAAAUUAUUAUUAAUUAUCUCUAAUAAUCAAAUAGAUCAUAAUAAAAUAGAUAAUAUUUAUAUAAAAAAUUUGAACAAAAUGAAACGUCAAACAAAAAUGUUAAAGAAAAAAACGUCACUUAUUUUGGAGAAGGGGGAGUAGUUGUUAGUUGAAGCUUCAGUUAUGUGGAUCCAAACGAGCUAACUAUUACUAGUACCUAACCUAAUAUAUCACACACAGCUGUGUUCAAAGAACUUACUAUGGCUCAAAUGUUGCCGUCACUCUGGUUCCUGCCGGCCGGCUCCUACUGGGCCGGCUAUACAUGCCCAUCCGCACGCACUGAAAUUUUCGUCCAACAGUAGGGUACACCUAACACAAACAAGAUUUUUGACUGCACUUGUGCAAAUGAGAACGAUGCUGGAGUUUGGACAAAUCCAGCCAGUCCUUGUCACUUAUCAGUGACAACACAGAUGUCGCUACGUACCGCCACCAAUCUUGUUGUUUUGCUAUCCCUUGUCCAGUGCAAUCAUACAUAUACAAUCUCUCAUAUAUAUCAAUGGUCAUUAUAUGUUGGGAAUCCUUACAAGCAGAUAUAUAGCAGUGGCACCCCCUUGCAGUCUUGACAAGGUGUCAGGAAUUGAGCUUGGAAAUGGAGGAGUUCGCCCUGUGCCCAAAUCCUCAUUUCGUGGUCAUCCCAUGGCCAGUCACCAGCCACAUGAUUCCCAUGGUGGACAUCGCCUGCCUCCUCGCCGCGCACGGCGCCCCGGUCACCAUCAUCACCCCGCCUUCCUGCUCCCAGCUCGUCCACAGCCGCGUCGACCGCGCCCGCGCCGGGCAAGCUGCCGGCUCGGCGGGCAUCGGCAUCACGGUGACCGCGCUCCCGUUCCCUUGCGCCGAAGCCGGCCUGCCGGCGGGCUGCGAGAGGCUGGACCACGUCCCCUCGGUCGACCUCGUGCCCAACUUCUUCGACGCCAACGCGCAGUUCGGCGACGCCGUGGCGGACCACUGCCGCCUUCUCAUGGCGACGCCGACGCCGACGCGCCGGCCGAGCUGCAUCGUCGCCGGGAUGUGCAACACGUGGGCGCACGGCGUGGCGCGUGAGCUCGGCGUGCCCUGCUUCAUCUUCCAUGGCUUCGGCGCGUUCGCUCUGCUGUGCUGCGAGUAUCUCAACACGCACAAGCCGCACGAGGGCAAGUCGCUGGACGAGGCCAUCGACGUCCCCGUCCUGCCGCCGCCUCUCGAGCUCAAGUUCGCCAGGAGGCAGCUGCCGCUACAGUUCCUGCCUUCGUGCUCCAUUCCGGAGAGCCGCCUUCGAGAGCUCCGGGAGUUCGAGAUGGCCGUGGACGGCAUCGUCGUGAACAGCUUCGAGGAGCUGGAACACGACUCGGCCGCGCGCCUCGCGGCCGCCACGGGCAAGACCGUGCUCGCCGUCGGCCCCGUCUCGCUGUGCGGCGGCGGCGGCGGCGGCGGCGCACGCGCACCUCCUAGCCUCCUCGACGUCCGGGCCGCCACCGACAGCUCGGUGAACGAUGACGCCAGACGGUGCAUGGCAUGGCUAGACGCCAAGAAAGCCGAGUCGUCGUCGUCGUCCGUGCUGUACGUCAGCUUCGGCAGCGCCGGCCGCAUGCCGCCGGAGCAGCUGAUGGAGCUCGGGCUGGCGCUCGUGUCGUGCUCCUGGCCUGUCCUCUGGGUCAUCAAGGGCGCGGACACGUUGCCCGACGACGUCGACGAGUGGCUACAGCACAACACCGGCGGCGACGACGGCCAGUGUCUCGCGGUCCGCGGGUGGGCGCCGCAGGUGGCCAUUCUGGAGCACCCGGCCGUCGGCGGGUUUCUGACGCACUGCGGGUGGGGCUCGACGCUGGAGAGCGUCACGGCGGGCGUGCCCAUGGCCACCUGGCCGUUCUCCGCCGAGCAGUUCCUGAACGAGAAGGUGAUCGUUGGCGUGCUCGGCAUCGGAGUGUCUGUCGGCGUGACGAAGCCCACGGAGGGCGUGCUGACCGGCGCCAAAGACGGCGGCGGCGGCGGCGCUAGGGCGAAGGCGGAUGUGGGAAUGGAGCAGGUGAAGCGAGCGUUGGAUAUGCUGAUGGAUGGAGGAGUGGAUGGGGAGGCAAGGAGGACGAAAGCUAGGGAGCUCAAGGCCAAAGCGAAGUCGGCUUUGGAGCAUGGAGGAUCGUCGUAUAUGAAUCUGGAGAAGAUGAUACAAUUUGCAGCUUAAUUAGCUUGAAAAUGGAUUGGUCUAGCUUGGUCAGUUUCAGCAAGCAACUCAGUUUAUUUCUGCGUAAUAAAGGUUAAGAAACUACUAGGACUGCAAGCAGCUGGGGUAUAUUACAUGUAGGGUUCAGGAACGCUGUCGCUGCAGGCUGGGCAAUCUCUGUCCAGGAUUGCAACUAGGCAGGAGUAGACGAAAAAUGGCAACAUCGAUCAGAGAUACUUUGGAUUGAAGAUCAGUGACUCAUGUGCGUUGUCUAAGAUUUACUCCCUAGCUAUGUCCUGGAUAAAUACAGUACAUCGUGACUUCUAAAAUUUGUACUGCAAGCAGACGGGGGAGAAAGUUAUUUUUGCCCUUAAGGGCAUGUGCUCCCACUCUCUCUACCACUGGAUUCGCAUUGAAAAGUGUGCAAACACACAUCUCAAUGCGAAUCUGCUUUGAGAUGUGUGUUUGUACACUUCUCAAUGCGAAUCCAGUGGUGGAGAGAGCGAGAGCAUAUGCCCUUGAGAGCAAAAAGGUUUCAGGAACACUGUCGCUAGCUGCAGGAUGGGCAAUCAAUUGCAACUGGGCAGGAGUGGCACGGUAGAGGAUGAUUCAAUAAUGCUAUGUGAAUGAUGCUUUGAUCUAUUGAAGAAAAUGAAGAACACAAUCAUGCAAGCGAACAGCAUGAGCCACAAAUUGCUUUCAUGAAUCAUGAUGAGAAGAAUUUGCGCAUUAGUGUUGUGGUACUUGCAUUGAUAGUAUACAGUCUAUAGAGCUUAUGGAUUGCAUGGUGUUUGGAAAAGAAAAUUGUCCUGAUUUCUGAAUGCACGUUCCCGUUCUUAACAGCUACUGCGCAUAAAAUAUGUGGUAGUUAAUAACAAGAGAAUGAAGCCUACAAAAAUAAUGAAGAUGCAAAUGGUUAUUCAUGGGAAUGAGGAAUGAAUGCAAGAGUUCUAAAUUAUGAAUAAAAUGGGAACGUAAUAUUCUAGGUGUAAGGUAGCUAAAAAUGUAUUUUUAUGUAAGUGUUAGUGAAACUCUCUUGAUUACAUACCGAGGCCAUGAUACCGUUCAGAGAGACGGGGACAUCUGCACUAACUGGUCUAUUAACCGUAAUUCCAUAUCCUUAGAGCAACUCCAACAGUUUACGACUAAAACUCACUUGGCAAAUCUAUAAUUUUGCCAAGUCUCAAAACCAAAUGCUAAGUGAAAAAAGAGGUCUUCUCCAACAGUUUGUUAUUUAGGCUUGGCAAAAGAACUUGGCAUCCUAGGGUUUUUGCCAAAAUCACAAAAUUGAGCCUCCAACAAGUUGGCAAAACUAGUUGGCAAAUUGGGAUACACGUGAUGCCAAAUGAUGGAGGACUUGGCAUAUUUGCCAAGUGAAGGGGGGAUUUUGCCAAGCUCACAAAAUUGCCAAGUAGUUUUGCCAAUUUGUUGGAGGCUGUUUUUUAUGAUUUUGGCAAAAAUCCUAGGAUGCCAAGUACUUUUAGCAAACUGUUGGAGUUGCUCUUAGAGUUACAUGCCUGGCUCACCAUGGUGUCAACCUCAAAUAACCUAGUCCAUAAAGGAGAUCCUAGUUUCUCUAAAAUGAAAGGCCAAAUGGGCCAUAAAAAAAAAUAUUGUGGUGGACUUGGUGGACGCCAAGACCAGUGGCCCACGUAAGGGCGUAAGGCCCAAGCCCACAACGUUCUCGACGCUACCUGAUCACUCCUACUAGGGUUCCGCACCCCUCCCCACCUAUAUAUACCGUCAGCCGCCGCCGUCCUCCCAUUCCCCUCCCCUAUCGUGAACCCGCCGCCGCCGCCGCCGCAGGAGGAGGAGACGCGCCAAGGAGAGCACGCGAGGAGGCGACCAUGAGGGCCAAGGUAUCCUCCAUCCAUCUCCGCGCCUACUCCUCGCGCCUACCAUCUCGUCGAUUAGAUCCGUGUGUGGCGUAGCAACUCGUUGCCACGAGUAGUUCUCAACUCGGUUCGUCCAUGUCCCGGGGCUGUGAUUACAAAGAGAGAGGCUCGAGUGGCGCAAUUCUGGGGUGGAAUCUCUUAUGGGACGGCGGAUCUCGCCGUGCGCUCGUGGACGCCCCCCUCGUCGCGGCGGCCGGGUCUGGAUCGGUAGCUUGGGACGCGAGGUGCCGCUCUGCGCGAGGCUGAUCCUUAGACCAGUCUCAAUGCAUAGGGCCUUGUUUAGAUGCACAUGUUUCGAGCCGAGCUGUGACAAAUCGUGUCGCGCAGAGCUUGGUAUCUCUGUGUCCCGUGCAUCGUUUCCGCAUGGUCCAGCCGCUGCGGUCUCGGAGGCGUCGCGUGCUUGUGGCGCCGCCGUCUUCUAGGGUUCUUCCCUGGCCACGGUGAAGGUUUCUUAAUCGCAUACACUUGAUAUGAGCCCCGUGGAUGAUGGCCUUAAGCCUCUGCUUGUGAAAUGUUGUUAGGAGAUUGAAUUGCAUUUCUAGCAGCAUCUGAUGGUGACUGUAGUCCUUGCUCUAAAUUUUUAAAGAUUUAGAUGCUUUGUUACUUAUGAUUUGUUUGCACUGGAAUCUGCCUGGCACCGUAAAUAAGCAAUUGCACGUUGAUGCUUAUCAGUGUUUGUCAUUACUAAUGCUUAUCAGUGCAAUUGUACUGGAAUCUGCCUGGAGAGAUUUUUGUUCCGUGUUUACCUUUAAUCUGUGGAAUUGUCUACUUCCUCCACUUAACCUGCAGCACAAAAAGGUAGUAUGUUGCCAGGCACUUAAGAUAAGAAUUCUGUUUUGUAGUUAAUUGAAAAUUGUGUGAUGGACAGGAUAAGGAUAGCCCCGUUCUUUUGCAUAGUUGUUAGAUGUAUUCCUUACAGUAUGUCUUUAAUUGUCUUGUACUCCCUCAUUUCAAAACAUAAGCUGUUUUGGCUUCUCUAGGUACAUUGCUUUUGCUAUGUAUUUAGAUAUACACUAUAUCCAAGGGUAUAGUAAAAGCCAUGAAUCUAGAAAGCCAUAAAGUCUUAUAAGUUGGAAUGGAUGGAGUAUACAAGAAUGGUCCUGUUCUUCUUCAUUUUAGUUAGUUGCAUUCUUGUCUAUGCUGUGCUAUUAUUUUUCCUCUUAUCUAAUGCUCACUCAACUAAUGCAUUCUUAUCUGUCAAUCUUCAGUGGAAGAAGAAGCGCAUGAGGAGGCUGAAGAGGAAGCGCCGAAAGAUGAGGCAGAGAUCUAAGUAAGCUGGUGGAGAUGGAUGGUGGACGUGAUGGCAUGCUUGAGUACAUACAUUUCUUCGGAUGCGUUUGCUCAUGGAGAGGCGUGAACCUGGUGUGCAGUCACAGUUUGCCAUCUGUCAAUUGGCUUGUCUCGGAAACCUGCACUUCAGUAGGCUAUCGUGGUUCUAGUUAUAUCCAGAGUUUUGCACUAAGACAACUCGGUCUGUUUUGUGAACCUAUUAUGAUGGAGCUUUAUUUGCUGCUAAUAUCGACCUACCUAUCUACCUACCUGUUAAGUAAUUCCUGUGUUUGUUUAUGCUGUGCUUGCCUGAUCUUUCAUUGUGUUAUUGUGGUAUCUGCUCGUUGGUGCUGGUUUAUCUGGCCUGUUUCUGUAAAUCAUCAGAGAAACAGCGUCCUGCUGUGUUGAAGAGCACACCGAUCGCUAUGCUUCACAUUGAAGCUGAUGCUCAACAUUGACUCAUAGUCUCAUACAAGCAUUGAAGCUAUUGUUCAUUCUAUGACCGACAGUUUCUCUAUAAUGGUGCAUAUGAACAUUGAAGCAGACAACAUAUUUUGCAGCUCGAACCUCUGUUGCCAAGCUGAUGCUCUACAUCGAUUUUAAUUGCAGUAACGGUUUGCUGCUGUGGCACGUCUGCGUAUCUCUGACGUUAAACGUACCGCGAGGUUGUUUUGGUCUGCGAUCCAGUGUUACCGCGAGAUGGUUUUGUUUUAUCAUCAAUUUUUUUUCUUUGUGUGUGCAAUGCCUCGGUUCGCUGUAGGCCUGAAGCUAAAAACCAAAGUCCCAUUCUGACUCUGAUACUCGUUCUGAAUUUUUUAUUUUUUAUUUUUUAAAAAUAUUUUAAAAAUCACUUAUAAAAGGAAAUGGUUUUCGUUUUUAUUUUUUAAAAGUCCCAUUGUGUUGUUUAAACAUUUGCUAGUUUUUUUUUGAGGGGAUUAAACAUCGUCUUAUCAUCUAGUUGGACUGGCCAACCAAAGGAAAUGCACAAUCUACGGUCCAUUUCAAAACCGCGAGCGUGGACUAAUCAAGCCCACGAUAGGACCUUUCGUUUAGGCCCAAGUCCAACCGAAGGCUCACUAACCAAAUGCAAUGCCCUAUUCGGCCCAAUUAAGGCCCAACGCCGUCUCGCUCAUGUCUCUCUCCACCACUACGCUCGUGGUCUCUCGAUGGGACCACCACUCCAAUGGACGGCGCGGAUCUCCCCUCCUACUCCGCCGCCACGGCCGCCGACGGCGACCGGCCUCCGGAGAGCGCGGUCGACGGAGGCGUGGAGAACGAGCGUGCCGCCGCGCCCACUCCAGAGCGGUGCGAGGCGCCGCCUCCGGAGAGCGCGGUCGACGGCGGCGUGGAGGACGAGCGUGCCGCGGCGCCCACUCCGGAGCGGUGCGAGGCGCUGGCCUCCGCGAUCGCGGGGGUGCUGGCCGGCGCGCUGCGGGAGCACGAGGAGCGGGCGGCCGCUACUGCCCGGAGCCAGGACGAGGUCGCCGCUGCCGUCGACCGCCUCAACGGAGGUAGGUGCCUCUCCCCGCUCCCGCCUUCGACUUUGUCUGCUGCUGAUGCUGUCGUGUGGUGCGCGCGUUGUGGCUUAGGGUUCUCCAGCUUCGGAUGCGGUGUAUUGUGGCGUUAAUUCAAACCGAAGAGUAGUGGGAUUUAAAUGACAUACUAGCAAUUGAGUUGUGAGCUCUGUGUUUUAUCUAUCUACUUUGCCUCUUUUCUUGAACUAUUCAGUACUCUUCCGUAAUUUCGUCAUCACGAUGGCAAUGAAAUUCAGGGACAUCCCAAAAAAUGUACUUUGCCUCUUUGAGAUUCUAACAGAAGACUAGUGGGAUUUAGAUGACAUACGAACAAAUGAGUUGUGAGCUCUGUAUUUAUUUAUCUACUUUGCCUUAAACUACUCCAGCACUCUUUCGUAAUUUCCUCACCAUGGUAAUGAAAUUCAGGGACCAAAAAUGUACUUUGCCUCUUUGGGAUUGCAACCGUGACAGGGCGAAGUUGAAAUUAUAGCUCGUUGUAACUUGCUUCUGUAGUUUAAUUUAAUUUAACUAAUGCACCAUCGUAUUUCUUGUGCGAGAUUGCAUGUUAUGUUUCUUGCUAUGUUUUCAAUAUCCUUACCCAGGGACUUGAUUGAAUCUACUUCUGCUGUUCUAAGUUGCACUUGACAUUGUUAGAGUAUAACACGACUAGGAUAGAGUUACUUGGGAUUAGGAUCCUUGUGUGCUGGCUUGCCCCAAGUCAUGUAAACUCUCUAUAUACUGUCUGAGAGGCUCAAUUUAAAUAAUCCAAAUCCACCCAUAAACAUAGUUCUUAGUUGCACCUGAAUCUACUUUUUAUUUAGUCCAAUUUCAGUCUCUUCAUUGUCUCAAGCGAGUUAACAAAUAAAUGGAUGAACUAGAAAAUUCUAGCAGUUAAACAGUAUACAAUGAUUAAAAAUAUUAAACUGAGAUUCAUGAUUCUGUCAUGGGCACAUGUGUGAGUGUCCAACUUGCCUGCAGGUGACCAGGUUUCCAAUCCGGUAAAAAAAAUUGGGCACACCAAAUAACACUUGGAGAACCCUAAGCCACUUGGAGAAGUCUCUUACAUUUUCCUUUGCUCCAAGGCUCCAUGCUUUUAUUCAAUUUUUUUUCUCACCUAAUGUGCUAUUGUCUGCGUACACAUAAUUUUGAUGGAAAGUAUGUAUGUAUGUGUAUCCAAUAACUGUAUGAAACUAAGACUGAGUUUUUGCAGAGCUAGACAGGCUAUUAGAGAAUGCACCCUCAAUGAUAAUAAUGCAACAUUCAGCAAGGAUUUCCAGUAUCCGCAAGAGGAUUUCAGCAAUGAACAUGCUACUCAAGUCCAUACAGCGACGCAUAGAUAACAUUGAUAGAAUUAUUUCUACUGGUAUGUCAAGUGGUUCUGUCUAUCAUUACUCUCUGUCUGUGGGUCAGCAGAGUGAAUCAUUAUGGACACAUUGCUUUGUGUUUGCAGAUCAUUCAUCUCCUGUACAGAAAGCCGGUAAUGAACUUGGAUCAAGGUGCCCUCCUUUUUUUUCCUACCACUUUUCAUCGUUUAUCUUUGGGUGGUCAUGAUAAAUGUGAACAAGCAACGUUAAGAGUUAUGGCUUUCAAUAUCUCGAAGCUAGUGCUGAAGAUGAAGUCUUAGUAAAUUUCUGAACAAUAGAUGCAAUUCUGUAUAACUGGAGAGGUGGGCUUUUCUUGCUUUUCAGUGUCGUGGUAUGAAAUAUUUAUACAAUAAACAACACAAUAAGUAAAUCUCUGGUUCCCCCAGCCCAAUUUGCUACUUUAUUUAUCUAGUCCUUAUUAGUUGCAUCCUUACACAGUUCCUCUUAAUUACAGGUUUUAGAAUAAUUCUGGUGGUGUCCCAUCAAUUGCAACCAUUUCUGUUUUGGUAGAGUUACCAUCAAGCAAUCACACGGGGCUGUCCAUAGAAGUGAGACGUCAUAAUUUCAAUUUUUCCCAGAGAUGUAUGAUCAAAAUAUUCCAAUCCUUUUUGUCACAUUUUGGAGUGGGAAAAGCCUUUUGUACUGGAUGGUCAAUUUCUUUUCCUGCGUUCUUUUUGUUGCAGACAAUGAAGCGUGUUUUCAGCUUCGGCGUUCACCCUUGUAUUCAAAUAUGAAAUUAUAUUCAGAAAUCAUAUUAUCAUAUUGACACUGUUGAGUGGUUUUGAUAUAUAGUACUUGUUUAAGAUGGCAACAUCUGGAAUUCACAUUGUUAUACUUUAUCAGAAAUGUUGGUAGAUGCUAGUGUGCCAUGGAUAUAAUUCGUUUGAAGGCCUUCUGGCCAGGUUUGUCACCAAAUUCCAAACCAAAUGUCAACGUUCAUAUGCAGGUAUCGGUCUACUCGAUGGAUUCGAUCAACACACUUGCAUAAACAACUUGGCAACUUUCAUUGCUCGUGCAGGAGACUCAGUCAUGUUCUGCCGACCGCUGGCAAUGCAAAUUGCCAGGUAUGUGCAGUAAGGCUGGCGUGCAGCAAAGCAAUAGAAACAAACAUAUUUCAGAAGAAAAAGCUGGCAUGCAGCAAAGCAAUAGAAACAACAACAUAUUUCAGAAGAAAAAACAUAGGUGUUAUUCCGACUGUUUCAAUGUGCCGAAAACAGGCAGGAAUUUGCUGCGUACAACUAUGACCUUUUUUUUUCGAGAACAUGCGUACAACUAUGACCUGGAACAACAAUGACCAAUUGUCGUGGGUGGUCUUCAUUGAAGAAAUGUUUCAUUUUCAGAAUCAGAAUAAAUAAAGGUACAGUGACAGCCAUGAAUCUACAAGUUACCCCAGGACACCAAGACUACAACAAAAUAAACUAAGCAAUGAACAUGGUAUGAACCUCAAAUGGAGGUUCUCCUUCAAACCUGUACAUGUGUUGACUAUCUAGGAUCUUUUCUCCGCUAAUCUUACAACAUCACUGACAAUAACCUUACUGCUGAAAUGAACACCACAGUUUGCAAUAGUAUUGUCAUAGGCGCAUGUAACCUUCUUUGUGACCUUUGAAGAGUUUCAGAUGCCUCUUGUUCUGAGAAUUGCUCCGGGUCAGUUCACGGCGUGUUCUCCAUGACGUCACAUGAGAAUAUAAUGAAGGAAAUAAGAAACAUAGCAACAGAAGUAAUAAGAUCACAACACAUAUUAGCAUGACAUUCAUGAAGCCAUCCCGGUUUUUAGGGUUCUUGUUCUGCUCGGUCCAUGGCACGCCACCAACAUUCAUCCCGAAAACUGACAAAUUUUGCAACAUAAAUCAGGUAAAUAAGAACCCUGAAAAAGAACAGAAAUUAAUUCAGGAAAGUACACGAGUGAGCACCAGGACAAUGAACUUACCUCCAGUGACAAUGGAAAGAGGAAGGAAUAUUAUGGAGAGAAAUGAAAGGUAGUACAAGCUUUUGUUUAUCUGCUCUGAUUGCCAACUAUCGAGACUAGCCUGAAGUGUGGUAACUCUAUUUGUAAUGAAUCCUAGGUUUUCUUUGAGCCUUCUGAGGCGACCUAUCAGAUCUUCAAGGGCUGCUAUAUCUCCAGUUGCGAACCAACUCUUGCUCGCACAUUUUUCUUUCACGCGGGGGAAUACUUGUUCACCGUGAGAAACAACCUACACAAACAAAAAUAGUAGCAUUGAGUCUGUGACUUCUGUUCUAUAGAUUAGGCCUUGUUUAGUUUCCUAAAAAUUUUGCAAAAUUUUUCAGAUUUCCCGUCACAUCGAAUAUUUAGACGUAUGCAUGAAGUAUUAAAUAAAAAUAAAAAUAAAAAGUAAUUACACAGUUUGGUCGGAAUUGACGAGACGAAUCUUUUGAGCCUAGUUAGUCUAUAAUUGGACAAUAUUUGUCAAAUAUAAACGAAAAUGCUACUAUUCAUAUUUUGCAAAAAUUUUUGGAAGUAAACAAGGCCUUAACUGAAUUCAUGUAACUGCACUUUUAGAACCUGAAAGCCAAAUUAUAAGCAACACAGCAUGACAACCUCAAUGUCAUAUCAGCACUCACUUCAUGCAUGUUUGCGAUUUUGACUAAAGCAGUGCAAAUUAUAAAACAUUCCAGGUUCCCAAUAUAUUUCCCAGAAACUCGAGAGAAAACUCAUACCUGAAGCAACCGCUGUAGAUCGAGAUGCAUUUUUGGGAAUCUCCUGCCAUCCAGCAAAAGUUUCCUCAGAAAGUGACCACCUGCAACAAGCACAAUCCACACAGUUCAUAAAAUAAAAAGGCUAGUCAUUGGAGAGAAAAAGGUGAAAGUUCGAAACCUUGUUUGUUGAAUCCUGGAAUGCAAUAAGCAUGGAGAGUACAUUUGCCAUAUGGUACCCCUCUAUAUUUGCACAAUGCUAAUAAACCUUUGCUGAAGCAUACAUCAUUUAACUUGGCAUAGGUCGCAUAGCAUUGUUGCAAAAUUUAUAUGGUUUGGAAGAAUGAUCAGGGUCUACUUUGGAAACUCUACUGCCAUUAUAUAGGAUCCUGAUUCAUGAAAUUACAUGAAUACAUGUAACAGAGUCAUCCUCGAAGUUACAUUCAGGACCUGCAUUCAAUUCAACCAUUCCAAAAUGUCUGGAAUUUGUCGUUCUGAUGGAAUGCAUACCAACCCCACCCUUUCAAACCUUGCAACCUUUUGUUUAUUUUAUUUAAAGAAAACCUCGUAUGCAAUCAUGAGUCAAAUCUAAUUCUAUCACAUUGAUCUGAGUUCAUGCAGCAAGAGGUCAGCAUUUUCAGCGUCACCAACCAACCAAAGAAGCGUAGGUUAGCAGCAAUCGAAUAUCUUUUAUCCAGAUGAGGAAUGAAAGGGAGCUUUACGCGAUGAUUGACCAGCAAGAAAGCAACCUCCGACCACGACCUCCGACCGCUCACCUUUGUCGAGCUGCAGCUCGAUGGCGUCGAGGUCCAUCUCGAGGCGCGUGACAAUGUCGUGGACGUGGUCUACGUGCGUGCCGAGGACGUGCACGAGGAGGUUGGACACCGUCCGCGGCACCGGGUUGUCGGUGUGCGCGCCGUCGGCGUGGUUCAUGGCCAGCAGCGACUCGAGCAGGCGCUCCUCGAUGACGACGCCGCCGUCGACGGCGCAUCCCCCGCCGUGUCCCUCGUCGGCGACGACGCCGAGCGGCACCUCGGAGAGCAGCGACGCCUGCUUGGUCCCGAACGCGAGGCGCGGGACCCCGCCGACGGACACGGUGACGACGGAGCUCUCGGUGACGCGCACGGCGAGGCGGAGCGCGCACGCGCUGCCGACGGGGCCCGGCGAGCUGACCCGGAGCAGGAGCGCGCCUCCGCUGUCCCCGGAGGAGGAGCAGCAGUGCGGGCCCGUGGCGACGAACGCGAGGAUCUCCUGCAGCGUGAGCGGCGGGCAGAGGAGCUCGAUGAGCGCCUGCGCGUGGUGGAGCGGCUUGGCCGCGGAGCGCGGGAGCUCCACGUGGUGCCACGUGAACUCCCCGGGCCUGGGACGCCGCGCCGACCCGCCGGACGCCGACGGCGCCAGGCCCAGGCCCCAGGGCGCCUCGGAGAAGCCGCCAUCGCCGUCGAACACGAACGCGUGGCGCGGCACCGCGCCCGACGGGAGCGGCUUCCCGACCGCGGGGGACGGGGACGGGGGCGGCGGGCCCCGCCUCGGACGCAGGUGGUUGGAGCCAGAGCCAGAGCCGAAGCCGGCUGCCUCCGCGCGCGGGGCGGGCUCGCCGGCGCCGGCACCGGCCGCCAUUGGCAUUAGAAUUUGCGCCCACGCCGCGCCACGUGAAGGCGUAUUAUACCACGGCAUCGCACAAGCUCCAGGGACCUCGCGGUGAAAUCGCGAAAUAUCUCUGGACCUUUCUGCAAAAACGAUCUCGGCAAGCGUUUUGCUAAGCGCUAAGCUUAACCCGGGAAGGUUAGUUUCAAAAAAACUAUAAUACUCCGUGUUAGUGCAUAGUAGUAGUAAUAAUAAUACCAUUUUUAUAUUAGUGCCAAAUACUGCUACAUGGAUAUGUUUUGCAGUAGGAUUAAUUGUAAAGAUAUAUGUUUAGUUAGGGUUGGUGUCGGUGAUUAAUAAUAAACAUUUUCUAGGAGGUGAAGGUGAUUUGAUUGAUCUGGGGGAAGAGGAUGAGGAGGGUGGGUGAUCUUUGCAUGGGUUUGACUAAAUUUGGGAAUCUCUCUGGUUGUGUGCUUGGAGGCUGGAGGUGCAUCACAUGUGCACUGCAGCUGCAAUUGUUAUUAAUUAAUUCAUUAGUAUUAGCCAAACUAGAGUUUUUUUUUUGUUUCAAUGAAAGAUGGUUAUUAUUACUCCAUUUUGGCCUUGUUCAGAUGCAUGUGAGCCCAGUCAGCUUUUCAUGAGAUAAAAAAUGAAAGAAAAUCAGAGAAAACUCUUAGCAAAGGUUUGGAACGUGCCUAUUCAUUUGGCUGAAAGUACUAUUUGCUGAUUUAUUGUGAGAAAAAAUAUUGCUGAACGACUGACAGAUUCGGCAAAUAAGCUCAAGCGAACAGGCUUAGUCCAUUGGUUUGAAUGCAUACGAGUUUUAUUUAUAGAGGCUCUAAGGGUUUGGUUUGCAUGAAAUACUAGCCAGGUCACUCUUCUUUGAGAGAAAAAAAAUACAAAACUAAUCCAACCUUUGUUUUUCCAUGGAAUAUAGUUAACUAACGGUACUACUAGUAGUGUCUUAGUAUUUGUUUUCAAGGAAAAAAAAUGAAUUACUGGGGUCCAGCCAAUGCAGUCGUCGCUUGUGAUCGAGGCUCAGCCCAUUCCUAAAACGGGCCGUGGUCUCGUAGACGAGAAUAGAGCUACCACAGCCCAGCCCAGCCCACCGUGGAAAUGGGCUCCCCUCAUCCUCGCUUUGCGUCACGCGACGUGAACCCCCCGGCGGGCGCCGGCGGCUCCUCGCCGACGUCGUCAUCAGUAACGGAAAAGAGCCCACCCGCCACUCGAACGGGCCGGCGAGGCGGCGGCGCCGGCACGUGACGAGUGACAAGGACAAGCUGAUGAAUCCAUCCCGACCGACCAUGCGCGCAUGGUCCUACAUCCUCCGAGCCGCCCGGGGGUGGUGGUGCGGGCAGCCGCGCGCACCACGAAGCACGAUCUGCGGUCCUCAGGCGCGGGCGCGCGGCGGCGUUAAUGGUCGAGCUUCAUGGCGGGGCCGAGGCCGCGCCGCCGCGGGCCAGCACGGUCCCAUUCCCAUGCGUAUGGCGUUCCAAGCUCCAUGGGGACGACGGCGCGCGCGCCAUGGCGAGGAACAUCCAUGCACUGCACGGCCUUCGAUCGGUGUAGUCCCGUCUCGGUCUCGGCCGCGCCGCCACCGCAGCGCCUCCUUGAUUCCGUGCAGUGCAUAGCAAAGCUCAUUCAGGUGCCGGCUUGGUAGGUGACGCUGACGCAGAAGCAGAAGCAGAAGCAGUCAGUCAGGCCAUCGUCGCCCAGUCCGCGGAGGUGAAUUCAGGUGAGCUUGCCUUUGCCUGCGCCCCCCCCUUAAUUGUUCUCAACCUAUCUAGUACUCGCUAACAAUGGGCGAAAUGGAUUUCGCAUGAACUGAAAACUGUGCUGGGAAUUCGGUCAUGACAUCUUCCUGUUAUCUGAACUUUCAAUCUGGUUACUGCUUACAUCCCCAUCCCUACAAAAUGGAUUUCGCAUGAACUGAAAACUGUGCUGCACAAAGGCACAAACAGCGAAAGAGGCCUGCUUUUUUCUUUUUGUUCGUUUGCCUUCUGGAUAAUCACAUCCAAAUCAGCACUUCAAUCAGUUCAGCACUGUGAAAAAAGUAAAACUGAAAACGACCGACGCAGUUUCUGCAAAGAAAAAACUCUCUAGAGAGUUUCGGCUGCAGAAUCUUCAGCUGGUCAAAUCUUAUCAUGAGGAACGCUCGAAUUAGGAGUGCCACUUUUCUGUGCCCAGUAAAAAGAAGCAGGCAGGCAUACACCCUGUGGCUGGCUAUCACUAUCCUUUCUCCACAAACACAAAGUAGCUGUCUCCAUUUUUCAACCGGAGAAUCCGAAUUUGCAAAGCGCUAGAGUGCAGAGUCGACUCAGCGUGUCUAACAUUGGUAGGGCAAGAAUAAAAAUUCCAGGACACGAUGCUUGCUUCGCUCCUUUCCAUUCCUUUUCGGCUCUCAAAGUACACAGCAGGCUAGCGCACGCACACGGCUGGCUAGCGUAUUUACAUUUUUCAGAUCUUUUGCUGCUCAACAGUUACUUGUUUACUUAUAUAUAUAUGACAUCAAGCUUCAAAACACACUUGAUUUUACAUUAGCUGCUGUUGUUGUUGUUGUUGACGAUGAUAGUAGUUAUACAUGUCCACGAAGGGUUUAGUCUAUAGGCAACCCCUGGGACGAUUUCCGGAAGGAGUUCUUGGUCAUCUUUUCCAUGAGGUGACACCAACGGCGACAUUGCUCACCUGGAACAGAUCAGAAGAAACAAAACAGUCAAGUCUGAUUGAUUGUUCAUAGUUCACUUGGUGACUUUGACAACGAGGGAAAACCAACGAACUAUGGUCAUAGUGUUUGAGAUAAGCUCACCAGUUUGCCCUUUUCAUCCAGUGUCUUAGGAUUCUCCACCAGAACCGUCUGGGGCCGAGCAUCCUGCAAGGAGCAUGAAAGUUGAGCGAAUAAAGCCUGUUUCAUUAUCGACGAACAUUUGACAUCAGUCUGAAUUUAGACGGUUUGCUUCAACCCGAUGGACCAGUGCUUUCAUCGCAGCACUAGAUGGUCCAAGGAUUUCAAGCGAAAAAUCUCUCGGUGGGACGCGUGCGGAAUGUGCUAAUCAUUGGUACUUGCCUACUUGAGGAACUGAUUCCCAUGCAAACCAUGGAGCAACCUGAACCUACCAAAGUUGUGAUUUUUAUGAAGGACAACCCCACAAUUGAUGCAACAAAAGGGUGGUUGUGCUGUGGUCAUCAACUGCUUAAUGGUCCCAUCCCAUAGGGCCAUAGAAUUACUUUGGACACCAAUAGUACUACCUCCUAAUAACUUUUGGUGUUCUAUAUAUGUGUGGAACUGUACUGACUGUGGAGACUAGGCAAAAAAAAAAGAAAGACUAACCGAUGGCGCUGGCCGUGCAGAGCCACCGGUGUGGUUGUUCUGUAGGAAGUAGUUUGUAAACGGAAUAUGAGUUGCGAUUGAUGACAUAUGCAACGACGAAGAGAAGACAAAUUCAGUUGUGCAGUACACAUACCCUGACUGGAUUAAUGUUGCGGCAUGUUGGGCACCCGACUGUCGUCGCUCCCGGUGGGUAUGCCAGAGUUGUCCGGCAUUGCCCGCAUGACAGGUGACCCAUUUGGUUUCCUGCUUCAGUUUAGGAUCAGGAAACUUGUGUCAGCUGGAGGAAGAAACUUGCAUGAGAAUGCAGUUGUAGCCUGUUUGUUGCAGGCAGACUAAAGGGAAUUGGACAUGAGGUUUCACCUGAUCUUGUGGAGUUGAGCCUACUACAGUGAGGGCAGCGUAUGUUGGUGGCGCUGCGGGAGUGCACCAGCAUGGUGAAGCAGCCGCCACAGACGAGUUCAGACAUCUCCGGUCCUAGAGGAAACAAAAGCAGAGUUUUUCGCUGAGAAAACUGGACUGAACAGGCAAUUGUAUCUUUGCUUCUUUAGACUGUAGCAUCAUCACGAUCGGACAAGGGAAAAAAGGCUUUGUGCUUUAUGCUGAUAUGUGUAUAGUAUACCUGAUGGGUUGGCGGCUGUGAAAGUGUUGCAGGUUGGGCAGCAGACGCCGGUGGCUCCCCUGCGGUACUGGAGAAGACGCUUGCAGCCGCCGCAGACCAACUGGCUAUGCAUGCCUGCAGUUGGAAAUUAUAUUGGUGCGGUUAGAAUUCCAAAUCCCAGUUCAGGUGCAAGAAGAUGCAACACUUUGAUCUGACAAUGGUAAAACAGGCUACCCUUUCUCUCUGAACUUCAAGAAAAAAAAGAAAAGAAAAGGAGGAUGAACUACACAGCAUGUAUAUUUUCUACUGCAUUUGCGACCGUGUUUUGCUAUAUGUAUUUGAAGAAAAGGAAAGGAUGGUGGCAUGAACGUGGACUGGUCACAUUUUGCGGCGGGCAAAAUUCGACAUGCACACAAGGCAGGUGCGCUAGCUGUGUGCUGUGCAUGGAUGGAUCAACCUUGCCUGAGAUCUAUAUAUGAACUUGUUCUGUAUGCAGGUUGUUGAAGGUGAGGAGGAAUUGUAAAGCACGGUACGCACGCAAUGCAUAACCUGUUUGCUAGCUAUAGGCAGGUGAGAAACUCAGAGCUGCUGCUUGCUAAACCCAAGCAUGCAAGGUAGGUAUACAUAUCAUAGACCAAGAAUGGAAGAUGUAUUACCAAGGCAAGAACACCGGCCGAGCUAGAAUGGACGGCGCCUUUGAACUGCAGCUAAUUAAUGAAGCUAGCUCUGAAGGUGUGCAGCA
rnacentral:lncRNA from 1 species